rnacentral:tRNA from 1 species
GAGAUUGUGGCUCAGUGGUAGAGCACUCACCUAGUACGUGCAAGGCCCUGGGUUCUAUCCUCAGCAACACA